AUGUCCGACGGCUCGGCCGCAAACGUUGACCUCACCGGCGGGUACUACGACGGCGGCAACAACGUCAAGUUCAAUUUCCCCAUGGCGUUCACCGCGACCAUGCUGUCUUGGAGCAUCAUCGAGUACGGCGGGCGGAUGGACGGGCGCGUCCACGACGCGCGCGCCGCGGUACGGUGGGCGACGGACUACCUCCUGAAGGCGGCGAGGACGACCCCGGGCAAGCUCUACGUCGGAGUGGGCGAUGCCGACGCCGACCACCGGUGCUGGGAGCGGCCGGAGGACAUGGACACGCCGCGGGACGUGUACGCGGUGUCGGCGUCCGCCCCGGGGUCGGACGUCGCAGGGGAGACCGCGGCCGCGCUCGCCGCGGCCAGCGUGGUGUUCAGGGCCGCCGACCGUGCCUACUCCAGGAGGCUGGUCGCGGCGGCGAGGGACGUGAUGGCGUUCUCCUGGCAGCACCAGGGGAAGUACAGCGACCACGUCGGCGGCGGCGUGGGCAACUACUACCCAUCCCACUCCGGCUACAAGGACGAGCUCCUGUGGGGAUGUGCAUGGCUGCUGUGGGCGACGAAGAACAGCUCCUACCUCAACGAUCUCAUCUCCCUGGGCGCCAACGACGACGUCGACGUGUUCAGCUGGGACAACAAGCUCGCCGGGGCGCGCGUGCUUCUGUCACGGAGGGCUCUGCUGGACGGGGACAAGAGGCUGGAGCCGUUCACGCGCCAAGCGGAGGAGUUCAUCUGCCACAUCCUGCCCAACUCCAGCUCCCCGUCGUCAACGACGGCGUACACGCCCGGCGGGCUCAUGCACCGGCGGGGCAACGUGAACAUGCAGUACGUCGCCUCGGCCAGCUUCCUGCUCACCACCUACGCCAAGUACAUGGCCGCCUCCCGCCGCCGCGCCUUCUCCUGCCAGAACAGCCACCCCGUCACCCACAGGGCCCUCAGGGCCCUGGCCAAGCGGCAGGUGGACUACGUGCUGGGCGACAACCCGCUGGGGAUGUCGUACAUGGUGGGCUACGGCGCGCGCUACCCGCAGAGGAUCCACCACAGGGCGUCCUCGAUGCCGUCCGUGGCCGCGCACCCGGCGCGCAUCGGCUGCCAGGAGGGCUACCGGAGCUACCUCAACGCCGCCGGCCCUAAUCCCAACGUGCAUACCGGCGCCGUCGUCGGCGGGCCGGAUGAGAACGACGCGUUCCCGGACGACCGCGCCGACUACGCGCGGUCGGAGCCCGUCACCUACACCAACGCGCCCCUCGUAGGUUGCCUCGCCUACUUCGCCGGGAGAUACAAGAACUGA
rnacentral:rRNA from 1 species